rnacentral:lncRNA from 1 species
UUUUACUUUUUUUCCCUGCCAGACUCUCCACCUUCCUACUUUCCUUUUUACUUUUUUUCUCGCUGACCUUCACCAAAAAUUGUGCCUGACAUUAUUUUUAUAUAUUAUUCUGUUAUAAAGGCAAAAAGUCAUAUGGCAUUUAUUAUCCCUAUUAUUUAUUGAUUUAUUUCAAACGUUUUCUUCUCUCUUUCUUCUAUCCUCGUCAUCUUCUACCCUGUUUAUCUUUUCCUUUCAUUUCAGCAAAUCAAAGUUUUUUUCCUCUUCUCAGUAAUAACCCACAGCCGUGUCCACCUUUUUUCGACGGAUCUGAUCCGUAACCCAUGUCAAAUCGUGUCAACACAGGUACGGCACCCCAAAAAGCCAAGUCCGGGUAACGAAGUUCAUCAUUACCAACCAAUUCUCGCUAUCAAGUUAAAUACUUGAGGUUUAAGGUUUAAAGAAAUGGUAGAAUUUCAUGAAAACUGAUAAAUGCCAGGGAGAUAACUGAGAAUCUGUGAGUUUUAAUAACUAGUGACUAGAAUGUUGUUUAACGAAGUUCAUCAUUACCAAUUCUCGCUAUCAAGUUAAAUACUUGAGGUUUAAGGUUUAAAGAAAUGGUAGAAUUUCAUGAAAACUGAUAAAUGCCAGGGAGAUAACAGAGAAUCUGUGAGUUUUAAUAACUAGUGACUAGAAUGUUGUUUUGCAGGUUACCAUGAAUGAACAGGCUAGCAGAUAUUCAAAGCAAUCACAACUUAACAUGAGUGUGUUAAGGAUA